UACGAAGGGGGCUAGCGUUGUUCGGAAUUACUGGGCGUAAAGCGCACGUAGGCGGAUAUUUAAGUCAGGGGUGAAAUCCCAGAGCUCAACUCUGGAACUGCCUUUGAUACUGGGGUAUCUUGAGUAUGGAAGAGGUGAGUGGAAUUCCGAGUGUAGAGGUGAAAUUCGUAGAUAUUGGGAAGAACACCGGUGGCGAAGGCGGCGACCUGGUCCGAUACUGACGCUGAGGCGCGAAAGCGUGGGGAGCAAACAGG
rnacentral:rRNA from 1 species